AUUGAACGCUGGCGGCAGGCCUAACACAUGCAAGUCGAGCGGAGCGGCGGACGGGUGUGUAAUGCCUAUGAAUCUGCCUGGUAGUGGGGGAUAACGUCCGGAAAGGGGCGCUAAUACUGCAUCCGUUCAGGAGAGCCUAGGUGGGAUUAGCUAGUUGGUGGGGUAAAGGCCGACCAAGGGGAUGAUCCGUCACUGGUCUGAGAGGAUGAUCAGUCACACUGGAACGGGGACACGGUCCAGACUCCUACGGUAGGCAGCAGUAGGGAAUGUUGGACAAUGGGCGAAAGCCUUAUCCAGCCAUGCCGCGUGUGUGAAGAAGGUCUUCGGAUUGUAAAGCACUUUAAGUUGGGAGGCGGUACCAACAGAAUAAGCACCGGCUAACUACGUGCCAGCAGCCGCGGUAAUAC
rnacentral:rRNA from 1 species